GUCGUGGUCAGGGGGGUUGUACUUGUAGCAGUUGGAGAACAUCAACCGGACGUCGGCGGCGAAUUCCUGCGCGUCGCGGUAUUCCCGGUUCUCCAUCUUCCGCUGCCGGGAAAAGAGCCGGGAACGUCGGGAAAAGGCGGGAAAAGGGGCAUGGAAAGGUCAUGGAAGGGUCAAUGGGGUCAUGGAAAAGUCAUAGAAUGGCAACGGGGUCAUGGAAAGGUCAUGAAAGGUCAAUGGGGUCAUGGAAGGGUCAUGGAAAGGUCAAUGGGAUCAUGGAAAGGUCAUGGAAGGGUCAUUGAGGGUCCAGAAACCUCAAUUUUUCCAGACCCAAAAGCCAAAAAACUCCUUAAAAAUCCCCCCCAAAAAACCACUAAAAAUGGCCUAAAAAAUGAAUCUAAAAAACCCAAAAAAUGCCCUAAAAAAAAAUCCCAAAAAAUCCCUAAAAAUUGAAAAAAAAAAUCCCCCAAAACCCCCUAAAAAAACCUCUAUAAAAUCCUCUAAAAAUUGCAAAAAAACCCUAAAAAAUCCCCCAAAAAUCCCUAAAAAUUGCAAAAAAAAAAUCCCUGUAAGAUCCCUAAAAACUGCAAAAAAUCUCCCAUAAAAAACUCUAAAAAUCCCAAAAAAAUCCCCAAAAAAUCCUCUAAAAAGUUCCUAAAAAUCCCUAAAAAAAAAGCCUAAAAAAAAUCCUUUAAAAAAUCCCAAAAAAAUCAUUAAAAAUACUAAGAAAAUCCCCAAAAACAUCCCUAAAAAAUUCCAUAAAGAAUCCCAAAAAACUGCAAAAAAAUCCCUAAAAAUUCCCAUUAAAAAAAC
rnacentral:lncRNA from 1 species